rnacentral:rRNA from 1 species
GACAGAGGGUGCAAACGUUGUUCGGAAUUACUGGGCGUAAAGCGCGUGUAGGCGGUUCGGUAAGUCCGCUGUGAAAGUCGGGGGCUCAACCCUCGAAUGCCGGUGGAUACUGUCGGACUAGAGUACGGAAGAGGCGAGUGGAAUUCCUGGUGUAGCGGUGAAAUGCGCAGAUAUCAGGAGGAACACCAGUUGCGAAGGCAGCUCGCUGGGACGUUACUGACGCUGAGACGCGAAAGCGUGGGGAGCAAACAGG